GACGAAGGUGGCGAGCGUUACUCGGAAUUACUAGGCGUAAAGCGUGAGCAGGCGGUUCGGUAAGUCUGUUGUGAAAGCCCUGGGCUCAACCCAGGGAUGCCAAUGGAUACUGCCGGACUUGAAUACGGGAGAGGUUACUGGAAUUCCUGGUGUAGCGGUGAAAUGCGUAGAUAUCAGGAGGAACACCGAAGGCGAAAGCAGGUAACUGGACCGUGAUUGACGCUGAGUCACGAAAGCCGGGGGAGCAAACAGG
rnacentral:rRNA from 1 species